UGUCUUCAUUGGUAUUCCGGGUAAAGAAAGUAUUAGGCCCAGAGAGGAGGAAGCGGGAGCGUGCAGAGGGCAAAGAGGUUGCUGGAGACAUGGGGAUUCUGCUGAGAGCCUGCUCCUAAAAAAGGACCCAGAUUCAAAUCCCUCCUCAGGAGUGAAAUUCAGGUGGUGUCCUGGGCCCAGUGACAGUGUCGUUGUGAAGACAAAAGGAGGGGGACAAAUCAUGGCCCUUGAGAGCUGCUUCCUACGAAACGUGCAUCGUGGUGAAAGCUGUGGGAGUCCCAGAGCUGGCCUAGUUUACUCCUCCCUCUCAGGCAGCGCCAUGGCCUCAGAGGCACCGUCCGGAUUGUCUCUUUUGUGGGAUAGAGUGGAAAGAGCAGCUGGGCAGCCCA